rnacentral:lncRNA from 1 species
GCCCCCGGCGAGUCCACACCCCUGCCCCGCCUCCUCCCGGUAGGAAACUCCGGGACCCUGCAAGGGAUGACUCACCCCAGUGAUUCAACCGCGCCACCGAGCGCGGAGCUGCCCUGGAGGACGCAGGCGGGUCUAGUUGCCCGGGUCCCCCAAGGCCCCCGGAUUCACCCAGGCCCGCGACUCCGACGUGCAGCUUAGGUGGGUUGCAGGUCUAUGGCAGGAAAGGGAGGGCGCCUUGGAAGAAUUCUUCCCUUCCAUUUGGUGAUAAAGUGGGAGAGGCGGCAUUUACAACAUUUAAUAGAAAGCACGGGCUCUGGGCUCCCCUCGGGCAGCGGAGGGCAUUUCCCGGAUGCUUUGCCCACCUGGGGCAGAAGCUCGGGACCUGCAGCGAAGUAAACGUGUGGCUGUGAGCAGGGCCCUCUCCCAGCCACGGUGGCUUCUUCUACCCCACGAAGGUCAAGAAUACCUGGCCUGCCCACCUCGCGGGGCCCUUAGCGGGUCGCACAGGAGAAAGGCGGUGGGAAUGCCGGUGUCAGCCACGGUGUGACCGGCUCGGCUCACAGGUCUGAGGGUCAGUUGGCUCAGGCAUCGCCCGGUACGACCAGAGAUAGUGACUGAGGAAGAGCAGCCUCACAUCUGGCAGUUUGCCUCUGGGAGAAUUCCAGCGUGACAUCUGCAGCUCUGUGGUUCCAGAAAGGAUGGUUCCCACAUUGAAGAAGACAUCUGUGGGACUGAGUUCCACCGAAAUGCAGAGGAACCAAAAAUGAAAAUGAAAAAUGUAACCAGAGUUGUGUGCCACUAGUUUUAAGCUUUGGUUUUUCUAAAUUAUUUUCUGGCUUCUCCUUCUGGGCUUUGCUGUAAACUUGCCAAGCAUGAGAACAACUCUUCAUCUAUUGAGUGGCAUUUUAAGCCAUCCUGUCAAAGUAUCUCCUGUCAUUUUUAUUAUUAUUACUCUAUAUUGCCUGCAAGACACGACUGGAGAAUUCUUAGUCCUAGUUAACAGAUGCUCCAAAUUUUGAGCCUGUAACCCUUCCAAUCCCUUGCUGCCUUUGAUGGUGAUGCUCCAUCCUAUUAUACCAACUCCACAUUGAAGCAGAACUCUCAAGACAGAGCUGAUGUCAUGAUGUCAGUGGAAAAGCAAAUGAUCAUUUGGGAAUAUCCAGUGAUCUCAAUACCAGUCUAUUACUUGCUGCCAGUGAAAAUGGCCAAAAAAUAUUGUUCUAGCAUCCUAUAGGUAUUAACUGAAUGCUCACAACAACCUUCUGAGAGAUGGGGAGGGAUGGAUGGGCUGUGAGGCCCCCCAGCCAAGAAGCUGGAAGAACUUUCUCGAAUCCUGCAGAGCUGCUCAGGGGCCUGCCUUGUAUCUGCCUGGCUGUUCCAGGGAGGUUGGAAGACAAACUGAAGGCUUUCCAUUGCUGAACAUCAGACCUCAGAAGUACUGACUGGAGGGCUCCCAAGCUGGCUCAGAUCAGCCUCAUAUUGCCCCGAACAGUAUCAUCACCGCUUUGCCCUGGUGGGGAAACUACUCUUUACCCUCUGUAUGAACCUAUGAAGCACGCAGGUCACUGGGGCAAUUUCUGAGUUUGAAGUUGCUUGGAUUUGCCAUUGCUGCUAUGUUGAAGGGAAGGGAGUGCUUUUGAAGAAAAUGUUCAUCUCUAGUUCCAGUAACAGGCAUGGAAUUGACACAUAACAGGUGUUUGUUGAAUUGAGCUGAAUAAAUUAGAAUCUGGGGCAAAAUAUAGUUGUUCUUUAUAGUCCUAAGUCUAUUAAUAAAGCAGAUAUAUCCUUAUUACAUGUUUUACUGCCAUAAAUGUGUCUACCAGAACUAGGAAUAAUGACAGACGGAAGGGUUGAGGAUUCUUUCUGACGAUAACCUGCCAGGACACCCGCUUCCUCCCUCCCUGUCCAGAUGGGGUGGACUACAGUGCUCUGGCUCACACCAGGGGUGGAGGUAUUCCCAUUAUUUGUCUGUUUUGUUGUCUGUAGUGCUUAGUCAGAAUGCUGCCUGAUACAUUGCAGGGGUUCAAUGACUUUCUGUGGAAUGAAUGAACAGACAGAUGGUUACUUACCCCAGGGACAUAAGAGCCUCACAUAGCUGCAGCGUGAGCAGUGCCCUCUGCAGUCCUGGACCCAGAUGCAUAGAGGCCGAGAUGUUCAGCCUUCCACCCCAUGGCCAUCCCGGAGCCUGGGGCUGACUCUGUCUGGUUUGGCUGCU